rnacentral:lncRNA from 1 species
GACGAGGUCGUAGCUCCGACGACCACGCCACAGGCGGCGCAAAGAGCUGACGGCCCAGAUCCUGGCAUCGGGAGCCACGCCGCUGCGCCCGCCGAUGGCGACGGCGAGGAGGAGGAGGAGGCCCCGUCGCCGCGUCCGUCCUCCGCCGGCUGCUACACCUUCCUCCGCUCCGCGUCUCGCCGCGGCGGGCACUGGCGCCUCGACUCCUCCGCCUCCGCGUCCGCGGCGGCGCAUGUGGGUGGAGGUGGGGACGACGAAGGGAGAGAGGAACUUGUUCCCCCGUCGACCUGGCCGUGCUCGAGGCCGGGCCGGUGCGGCGCCUCCUCGCGGCGGCCGGGCGGCGGACCCGCGGUGGCGGUCGCCGUGGACGCGUUGCUGUUCGAGCACCUGUGGUGGCUGCAGCCGACGCCGACUUCGUCCCUCCCCUCACCAUCGUGGGUCAUCGAUUCCCCUAACAGCCGACCCCUCGCGCCGCCCGACUCCGUCGACGUCAUCCCUCCCCUUGCCAUCGUCGGCCGACGCGCCGCCACCGCGCCGCCGCCGCCCUCCCACGCAGCAGAUCCAUGCCGCAAGACGUCCAUCGGCCACAACCGUCGCUGCCCUCCCCUGCAGCAGAUCCACGCCACCGGCCGCCGCCCUCGAUCACAACGUGAUUUGGAGGUGGAGAAGCUUGGCUGCGGCUUCUUCGCCAACACCAGGGUCAACCUUGCCAACGAUAUGCGGAACAGCGACUACACGCUGAUGCGGUUGCUGGCACAGGCGGACGCCAUCAACUUCAUCUUCUUCACCAAGAUGGACAUUGGUGGGUUGUUGUGCUGCCUUCAAUUAUGCAGGGUUGGGUUGGACUCUAUGAGGGUUUCGAGGGCGUGUGCAUUUGUUGACCAUGGCUGCGGCUGGGAUGUCGGUAGCGGUCGUUGUAGUGGCUGCGGCGACGAUUGCUUCUUCCUUGGAUGGGAGCCACCGUUCGCCGACCUUGCUGCCGCCGACGCCCGCAUAUCCUUCCAUGUCUGUGUGCCAGAGGAUUUGUGGGAUGCAAGCAGCAGCAGAAACAGCGACCGAGCACGUCCGAUUCCAGCUACGUUCAGCGUCAUGUAUGGGAAGGUGGGGAUCAGUGCCGACACACACCCCCAGUUCUACCUCCGAUUAUUUCUUCAGCGAUAGUCUUAAUUAAUAGCUCUUGUGGGCAGUCAUUGACAGGCAUGGUGUGUACUUAACUGCUUAUUGAAAUGGUCAGGUUUACUUUCCAUUCGU